rnacentral:rRNA from 1 species
GACGAACGCUGGCGGCGUGCUUAACACAUGCAAGUCGAACGGUAAGGCCCUUCGGGGUACACGAGUGGCGAACGGGUGAGUAACACGUGGAUGAUCUGCCCUGCACUUCGGGAUAAGCCUGGGAAACUGGGUCUAAUACCGGAUAGGACUCCGGACUGCAUGGUCUGGGGUGGAAAGCUUUUGCGGUGUGGGUUGGGCCCGCGGCCUAUCAGCUUGUUGGUGGGGUGAUGGCAUACCAAGGCGACGACGGGUAGCCGGCCUGCGAGGGUGACCGGCCACACGAGGACUGAGAUACGGCCCAGGCUCCGACGGGAGGCAGCAGUGGGGAAUAUUGCACAAUGGGCGCAAGCCUGAUGCAGCGACGCCGCGUGAGGGAUGACGGCCUUCGGGUUGUAAACCUCUUUCAGCAUCGACGAAGCGAAAGUGACGGUAGGUGCAGAAGAAGGACCGGCCAACUACGUGCCAGCCGCCGCCGUAA